CUGGCGGCAGGCUUAACACAUGCAAGUCGAACGAUCUCUUCGGAGAUAGUGGCGGACGGGUGAGUAACGCGUGGGAACAUGCCCUGGGGUAAGGAACAACCACUGGAAACGGUGGCUAAUACCUUAUGAUGUCUACGGACCAAAGAUUUAUCGCCCUGGGAUUGGCCCGCGUUGGAUUAGCUAGUUGGUGAGGUAAUGGCUUACCAAGGCGACGAUCCAUAGCUGGUUUGAGAGGAUGAUCAGCCACACUGGGACUGAGACACGGCCCAGACUCCUACGGGAGGCAGCAGUGGGGAAUCUUGCACAAUGGGCGAAAGCCUGAUGCAGCCAUGCCGCGUGUGUGAUGAAGGCCUUAGGGUUGUAAAACACUUUCAGAGGGGAAGAUAAUGACGGUACCCUCAGAAGAAGCUCCGGCUAACUCCGUGCCAGCAGCCGCGGUAAUACGGAGGGGGCUAGCGUUGUUCGGAAUUACUGGGCGUAAAGCGCGCGUAGGCGGAUUGAUUAGUCAGAGGUGAAAUCCCAGGGCUCAACCCUGGAACUGCCUUCAAAACUAUCUCACUAGAGUCCGGAAGAGGGUGGUGGAAUUCCCAGUGUAGAGGUGAAAUUCGUAGAUAUUGGGAAGAACACCAGUGGCGAAGGCGGCCACCUGGCUCGG
rnacentral:rRNA from 1 species